rnacentral:piRNA from 1 species
UCCAAUACGUGAGAGAUGUGUGCGUUGAU